rnacentral:rRNA from 1 species
GUGGGGAAUAUUGGGCAAUGGGCGCAAGCCUGACCCAGCAACGCCGCGUGAAGGAAGAAGGCUUUCGGGUUGUAAACUUCUUUUACCAGGGACGAAACAAAUGACGGUACCUGGUGAAUAAGCCACGGCUAACUACGUGCCAGCAGCCGCGGUAAUACGUAGGUGGCGAGCGUUAUCCGGAUUUAUUGGGUGUAAAGGGCGUGUAGGCGGGAAAGCAAGUCAGAUGUGAAAACCAGAGGCUCAACCUCUGGCCUGCAUUUGAAACUGUUGUUCUUGAGUGUCGGAGAGGUAAUCGGAAUUCCGUGUGUAGCGGUGAAAUGCGUAGAUAUACGGAGGAACACCAGUGGCGAAGGCGGCUUACUGGACUGUAACUGACGCUGAGGCGCGAAAGUGUGGGGAGCAAACAGGAUUAGAAACCCUAGUAGUCC